rnacentral:rRNA from 1 species
AGCGAACGCUGGCGGCAGGCUUAACACAUGCAAGUCGAGCGCCCCGCAAGGGGAGCGGCAGACGGGUGAGUAACGCGUGGGAAUCUACCAUCUCUACGGAAUAACGCAUGGAAACGUGUGCUAAUACCGUAUACAUCCUUCGGGAGAAAGAUUUAUCGGAGAUGGAUGAGCCCGCGUUGGAUUAGCUAGUUGGUGGGGUAAAGGCCUACCAAGGCGACGAUCCAUAGCUGGUCUGAGAGGAUGAUCAGCCACGCUGGGACUGAGACACGGCCCAGACUCCUACGGGAGGCAGCAGUGGGGAAUAUUGGACAGUGGGCGCAAGCCUGAUCCAGCCAUGCCGCGUGAGUGAUGAAGGCCCUAGGGUUGUAAAGCUCUCUCACCGGUGAAGAUAAUGACGGUAACCGGAGAAGAAGCCCCGGCUAACUUCGUGCCAGCCGCCGCAGUAACAC